CCAGACUCCUACGGGAGGCAGCAGUGGGGGAUAUUGCACAAUGGGGGGAACCCUGAUGCAGCAACGCCGCGUGAGUGAAGAAGGUCUUCGGAUUGUAAAGCUCUGUUCUUGGUGAAGAUAAUGACGGUAGCCAAGGAGAAAGCUCCGGCUAACUACGUGCCAGCAGCCGCGGUAAUACGUAGGGGGCGAGCGUUAUCCGGAAUUACUGGGUGUAAAGGGAGCGUAGACGGCGAGGUAAGCCUGAAGUGGAAGCCCGCGGCCCAACCGCGGAACUGCUUUGGGAACUGUUUUGCUGGAGUAUGGGAGGGGGAAGCGGAAUUCCUGGUGUAGCGGUGAAAUGCGUAGAUAUCAGGAGGAACACCGGUGGCGAAGGCGGCUUACUGGACCAUAACUGACGUUGAGGCUCGAAAGCGUGGGGAGCAAACAGGAUUAGAUACCCGGGUAAC
rnacentral:rRNA from 1 species